UUCCGGUUGAUCCUGCCGGAGGCCAUUGCUAUUGGAGUCCGAUUUAGCCAUGCUAGUCGCACGGGUUCAGACCCGUGGCGAAUAGCUCCGUAACACGUGGCCAAACUACCCUAUGGAUCGGAAUAACCUCGGGAAACUGAGGCUAAUACCAAUACCGCUCUCACGUUGGAAUUACAGAGAGCACGAAACGCUCCGGCGCCAUAGGAUGUGGCUGCGGCCGAUUAGGUAGACGGUGGGGUAACGGCCCACCGUGCCGAUAAUCGGUACGGGUUGUGAGAGCAAGAACCCGGAGACGGUAUCUGAGACAAGAUACCGGGCCCUACGGGGCGCAGCAGGCGCGAAACCUUUACACUGCACGAACGUGCGAUAAGGGGACUCCAAGUGCGAGGGCAUACAGUCCUCGCUUUUCCCUACCGUAAGGUGGUAGGUGAAUAAGAGCUGGGCAAGACCGGUGCCAGCCGCCGCGGUAAUACCGGCAGCUCGAGUGAUGGCCAAUAUUAUUGGGCCUAAAGCGUCCGUAGCUGGCCGAACAGGUCCGUCGGGAAAUCCGCUCGCUCAACGAGCGGACGUCCGGCGGAAACCAGUCGGCUUGGGACCGGAAGACCCGAGGGGUACGUCCGGGGUAGGAGUGAAAUCCUGUAAUCCUGGACGGACCACCGGUGGCGAAAGCGCCUCGGGAGGACGGAUCCGACAGUGAGGGACGAAAGCUUGGGUCACGAACCGGAUUGGAUACCCGGGUAGUCCAAGCUGUAAACGAUGCUCGCUAGGUGUGGCACUGGCUACGAGCCAGUGCUGUGCCGUAGGGAAGCCGAGAAGCGAGCCGCCUGGGAAGUACGUCCGCAAGGAUGAAACUUAAAGGAAUUGGCGGGGGAGCACUACAACCGGAGGAGCCUGCGGUUUAAUUGGAUUCAACGCCGGG
rnacentral:rRNA from 1 species